GACAGUAUGGUGUAGUGGUUAUCACGUCUGCCUCACACGCAGAAGGUCCCCAGUUCGAGCCUGGGUACUGUCA
rnacentral:tRNA from 1 species